UCCAGAGGGUGCGAGCGUUGUUCGGAAUUAUUGGGCGUAAAGGGCGCGUAGGCGGUGCGGUAAGUCACCUGUGAAAUCUCCUGGCUCAACUGGGAGCCUGCAGGCGAAACUGCCGUGCUGGAGUGUGGGAGAGGUGCGUGGAAUUCCUGGUGUAGCGGUGAAAUGCGUAGAUAUCAGGAGGAACACCUGUGGCGAAAGCGGCGCACUGGACCACAACUGACGCUGAGGCGCGAAAGCUAGGGGAGCAAACAGG
rnacentral:rRNA from 1 species